GGGUGCGAUCAUACUAGCGUUAAUGCACUGGAUCCCUUUAGAAUUCUGCAGUUAAGCGCACUUGGGCUAUAGUAGUACUGGGAUGAGUGAACUCCCGGGAAGUCCUAGUGUUGCCCCCU
rnacentral:rRNA from 1 species